UCAAUAAACUAUUCAUAUGAAAUUUGCCAUUUCUUUUAAAGCACGUUUUCACUAUUUUAAUAAGACAUAUUGGAGCCCAAAGUUCCAUCCGUUGUGAUGCUCAUAGUUAUCCCGUGCCGGGGUACAUUUGGAAAUGUAAUAAAAAUUAAUAAUUCACACAUACACAUUAAUAAAAAAAUGGAUGAAGGAGCUUUAGCAAAAGAAGUCUUUUGAAGGCGAACAUAAAAGAAAUGCAAAAGGGGAAGGCCAAACCCCGAUGGAGUGAAAAAGUGGAGCGACAUCUCGAAAAUUUUUCACAAUAAAUUUGUUUCGUUUCAAAAUUAUAAAAAAUAUAAAUAUAUAUAAAUUAUAAAAAAAAUACAUUUUAUGCAGAGAUUGCCACGCCACUUUUUGUCUGCGUCUAGAUUUGACAUAUUCUCAUUUCUUUUCGCAAUAGAUAUAUGUGAAAGGGAGCACAACAUAAUUAUCAAUGCACAAUUUAUACUAUUAAAUAACAAUUUAAUUCGUACAAUUGAAAAUAUGUUCAACGAAUGCCUUGCCGUGAUACAAAAGAAAUUCGAAAUCGAUACGAAAAAAAUCGAAAAUGUAAAGAACUAUAAAAGCAAUUAAAUUGAAAAAUUUUUUAUAAGUCAAUACCAUAUUUUGUCGGUCAAAUUUAGGUCUGCAUUUUAUUUGUGAACCCGCAAAAAUUUCUUAUGACGAAGAGUUUAAUAGAAAAUAAUACUUGGGAAAUUGUUGAUUUGACGUAUAAAGAAUAUUUGCAUACAACAAAAUGGAUUUUUAAGCUAAAAGAGUUAUGCGAUGAAGUUCACUCGGGUAUUUAUUUUCAAUAGCCGAUGAGUUUAAUCUUCGGAUGAAUCACGUAGAUGUAGAGCCGCCUAUUUAAAUUUUAUAAAUAUUGUAUAUAAAAUUUCCUGAAGUUUUAAAGUUAAACAGACCAAUAUAUUUCCUAAAACAAAUGUUAAGAACAUAGAAACAAUUUUCUGUACAACUGCAAUUAAGUUUUGUGAAUAUAAUAUUCAAUUUCAUCGCGGACUCAAAAUUAUUAA
rnacentral:sRNA from 1 species